rnacentral:rRNA from 1 species
AAGCGGACAGAUGGGAGCUUGCUCCCUGAUGUUAGCGGCGGACGGGUGAGUAACACGUGGGUAACCUGCCUGUAAGACUGGGAUAACUCCGGGAAACCGGGGCUAAUACCGGAUGGUUGUUUGAACCGCAUGGUUCAGACAUAAAAGGUGGCUUCGGCUACCACUUACAGAUGGACCCGCGGCGCAUUAGCUAGUUGGUGAGGUAACGGCUCACCAAGGCGACGAUGCGUAGCCGACCUGAGAGGGUGAUCGGCCACACUGGGACUGAGACACGGCCCAGACUCCUACGGGAGGCAGCAGUAGGGAAUCUUCCGCAAUGGACGAAAGUCUGACGGAGCAACGCCGCGUGAGUGAUGAAGGUUUUCGGAUCGUAAAGCUCUGUUGUUAGGGAAGAACAAGUGCCGUUCAAAUAGGGCGGCACCUUGACGGUACCUAACCAGAAAGCCACGGCUAACUACGUGCCAGCAGCCGCGGUAAUACGUAGGUGGCAAGCGUUGUCCGGAAUUAUUGGGCGUAAAGGGCUCGCAGGCGGUUUCUUAAGUCUGAUGUGAAAGCCCCCGGCUCAACCGGGGAGGGUCAUUGGAAACUGGGGAACUUGAGUGCAGAAGAGGAGAGUGGAAUUCCACGUGUAGCGGUGAAAUGCGUAGAGAUGUGGAGGAACACCAGUGGCGAAGGCGACUCUCUGGUCUGUAACUGACGCUGAGGAGCGAAAGCGUGGGGAGCGAACAGGAUUAGAUACCCUGGUAGUCCACGCCGUAAACGAUGAGUGCUAAGUGUUAGGGGGUUUCCCGCCCCUUAGUGCUGCAGCUAACGCAUUAAGCACUCCGCCUGGGGAGUACG